ACCCGCUGAACUUAAGCAUAUCAGUAAGCGGAGGAAAAGAAACUAACUAGGAUUCCCCGAGUAGCGGCGAGCGAAAGGGGAGAAGCCCAGCGCCGAAGCCCGCCACCCCCCGGUGGCCGUGCAAUGUGGCGUUUCGGCGGCGACUCGCAGCGUCCCGCUCUGGCACGAGUACCUCUGAAUGGGUCUGCCCGUAGCGGGUGUCAGGCCUCUACUUGCCAGAAGGAGCGGGCGUGGCAUGUCGUCGUCGCGGAGUCGGGUUGCUUGAGAGUGCAGCCCAAAGUGGGUGGUAAGCUCCAUCUAAGGCUAAAUACCUAGUGCGAGACCGAUAGCAAACAAGUACCGUGAGGGAAAGUUGCAAAGAACUUUGAAAAGAGAGUUCAAGAGUACGUGAAACCGUUCAGAGGCAAACGGACGGAACUGGGCGAGUUUGCCGUCGUCAUUCAGCCGCAGCCGCGCUCACGCGUGGCGGCGGUGCACUUGGCGGCGGCGAAGCGCGACGACCGCCUGCUGGGCUGUCUGAAGCGCGGCGGCAAGGUGGCGACGCGCUCGCGCGUCGUGUUACAGGCCGCCGCUGCGUUGACUGGCUCGGCGGGCGAGGAGCGCCUGCGGUGCACUAGCGCUUGCGCUAGUGGCCCGACGUGGUGGGCUUGCGGACGCCGGCGACGAACUGCUCGCAGUUUGAUGUCGCGCGCGCCGCCUGUCGUGCUGCGCGGUGCCACGUUGCACCCAGGGUCCGGGUCGUGUGGUUCCUGGCACUCCGUCCGACCCGUCUUGAAACACGGACCAAGGAGUUGAGCACGUGCGCGAGUCGAUGGGCAUCAAGAACCCCAGUGGCGCAGCUAAGGCAAAACGGGCGUGAUCCGGCACUGGCGUGUCGGCGCAACGCCGGCCCGCGGCCGACUCGAUGCGAGUGGCCGCGGUGCAAGAGCGUGCGUGCUCAGACCCGAAAGGUGGUGAACUAUGCUUGAGCAGGGCGAAGCCAGAGGAAACUCUGGUGGAGGCUCGCAGCGAUCCUGACGUGCAAAUCGGUCGUCAAACUUGAGCAUAGGGGCGAAAGACUAAUCGAACCGCCUAGUAGCUGGUUCCCUCCGAAGUUUCCCUCAGGAUAGCUGGCACUCGGGAUAAAUGGUUUUAUCCGGUAAAGCGAAUGAUUAGAGGCAUUGGGGACGAAACGUCCUCAACCUAUUCUCAAACUUUAAAUGGGUAAGAGGCGCGGCCCUUCCUAAUCGGGGCCGCGUGCUUGAACAGAGAGUGCCCAGUGGGCCGUUUUUGGUAAGCAGAACUGGCGCUGUGGGAUGAACCAAACGCGCGGUUAGGGUGCCUAACGCACGCUCAUGAGACACCACAAAAGGUGUUGGUUGAUAUAGACAGCAGGACGGUGGCCAUGGAAGUCGGAAUCCGCUAAGGAGUGUGUAACAACUCACCUGCCGAAUCAACUAGCCCUGAAAAUGGAUGGCGCUGGAGCGUGCGACCCAUACCGCGCCGUCGGGGCAAUGCGUGCGAAAUGCCAGGCCCCGACGAGUAGGAGGGCGUGUCGGUGGCGUUGAAGCGUAGUGCGCGAGCACGCGUGGAGCCGCCUUCAGUGCAGAUCUUGGUGGUAGUAGCAAGUAUACAAAUGAGAACUUUGUAGACCGAAGUGGAGAAGGGUUCCAUGUGAACAGCAGUUGGACAUGGGUCAGUCGGCCCUAAGAGAUCGGAGAAUUCCGUUCUGAACGGGGAAUGUGGUGCGUGGCGUGCACGACCGUCAAAACCUCUAUAUCGCAAAUAUAUUAUACCCAGUGUAUUAUAUCCAGGCGUAAGAGUGCGGUGCAGUACGACCAGCGCGGCCAAAGUGUGUGCAAACCCCGAUGCGAUCGAAAGGGAAUCGGGUUAAUAUUCCCGAACCUGGCAGUGGAGAUUGGGCCCUCGGGCCCCAGUGCGGUAACGCAACCGAACUCGGAGACGCCAGCGUCGAUCCCGGGAAGAGUUCUCUUUUCUUUGUUAGGAGCGGACUCCCUGGAAUUGGCUUGUCCAGAGAUAGGGACGUUGCAUCCGUAAAAUGUCGCGCCUCACGCGGCAUCCGGUGCAUCGGCGUUGGCCCUUGAAAAUCCGAGGGAGGCAGUGUAAUUUUCACUCCAGGCCGUACCCGAAUCCGCAGCAGGUCUCCAAGGUGAACAGCCUCUGGUCGAUAGAACAAUGUAGGUAAGGGAAGUCGGCAAAUCCGAUCCGUAACUUCGGGAUAAGGAUUGGCUCUGAGGUGCGGGCUGCUUCGGGUCGCGGCAGGAAGCGGGCCGCGCGUUGGUUGGACUGGACGGGCUCGCGCUCGUUCGGACCGCCGCCAGCGCGCGUCCGUGGGAGGCCGUGGCUUUCGGCGGCGUGGGCUCGCGCCCGCGUCGCCUUCGUUCGGCCUAAACGCACAGCACAGAACUGGCACGGACUCUGGGAACACGACUGUCUAAUUAAAACAAAGCAUCGCGAUGGCCGCUGGUCGGUGUUGACGCGAUGUGAUUUCUGCCCAGUG
rnacentral:rRNA from 1 species